UCUUAAUCAAAUAUAUCAACACUAGGAAAAGCUGAACGUAGCUGUUGGAAAAAAAUUUUGCUUGGAAAUAUUCGACGAAAUUUUUUCCCCUAAAUCUAUUUUGUUGUUUUUGAUAAUAUGAAUUUAUGGUGCAUCCAAUACAUUGGCAAAAAAACAUAUAUCUUUAUAUAUAAAGUAUAGUUUAAUCCCUCCUCCUUGCGCCACGUCCUCUGCCACAUAGAUAAAUCGUGUUCUCUCGGACUGACACGUGUCACUCAGUAACGAAACUCAACGUUUCAUUUAAACGCGAGUUCUUAUGGGCUUUUGACAUUCAUCGCGUGUUGGCCUCCGGUUUGUUGUUCUGUUCGGCCCGAGACGGUUGAAUGAACCCUCUAACCCUAAUUGCUCGAUCGUAGAUCUGCCUUCCGUCUCUCCAUUCCUGCGACAGCAACCCAUGACGCCUGUGAUUCUUUCCUCUGACUGAAACGGGCGGUGUUAUAACUUUGUAUCUCCUAUGCGGUAUGGAUCUGUAUAAAUAUGUGAGUUCUUCUUGCUUCAAACUCAAUUUCUUUUCCUAUCUCUUCCAAUAUUCUGAUUCGUGUUGUUAUGGCUAAUUUUGAGAGUUUUUUUCUCCGACAUGGAAACCGGCAAGUGCUCUUCCGUCGUCGAGGCACGGCUCCUGCGGUUCUGGGAGGCGAGGAACGUCAAAUGUGAUGAUUUUCUUGCGUACAUGAAUAAAAUCUUUGUCUUCCCUUUUGGUGGGCUUAUUUAAUUAGGAACGAUGGGAGCGACAUUUGGGCUGAUGAUUCUUUGAGACUAUAGCAGGCUAUGCAUGCCUCUGUUUUAUUGGUUUAGGCUGAAAGGUUAAACAACUACCUAAAUGUUCAACAGAUCAAGUGUGAUGCUUCUUAAAUGUAUUUAGAUUGCCGUGAAGAACGUUGGAUUACACAAUGAAGAAGGAGCUAAACGGAUGUUUGAUAUCCCUGACGACGGAACUAUUAAGGUUCAUAGAAUUGCUGGUGCCGUCUCCGUCUCAAAUUUUCUUUUCUCAUGCCUCAAUACGUGUACAGACGUCUUGACGUUUUUUCCUCUUUCCUUAGCCAUAGAAGGAUGUAAAUAGAAUGAAAUGGGCUUAUCAGACUUUGUAAUUUUUCUUAUUGGGUAUUUCGUUUAAAAAAAAAAAAGCAAA